AAGAAAGUGGCAGAGUGGUUAUGCAGCCGGCUUGAAAUCGGCAAAUGGGGGUUCAAUUCCUUCCUUUCUGG
rnacentral:tRNA from 2 species